rnacentral:rRNA from 1 species
AGUGAACGCUGGCGGCAGGCCUAAUACAUGCAAGUCGAACGGCAGCACGGCAGAGCUUGCUCUGUGGGUGGCGAGUGGCGGACGGGUGAGGAAUACAUGGGAAUCUGCCCAGUCGUGGGGAUAACGUAGGGAAACUUACGCUAAUACCGCAUGCGCCCUUCGGGGAAAGCCGGGGACCUUCGGGCCUGGCGCGAUUGGAUGAGCCCAUGUCGGAUUAGCUAGUUGGCGGGGUAAUGGCCCACCAAGGCGACGAUCCGUAGCUGGUCUGAGAGGAUGAUCAGCCACACUGGAACUGAGACACGGUCCAGACUCCUACGGGAGGCAGCAGUAGGGAAUAUUGGACAAUGGGCGCAAGCCUGAUCCAGCCAUGCCGCGUGAGUGAAGAAGGCCCUCGGGUUGUAAAGCUCUUUUGUCCGGAAAGAAAAGCGCCGGGUUAAUACCCUGGUGUCCUGACGGUACCGGCAGAAUAAGCACCGGCUAAACUUCGUGCCAGCAGCCGCGGUAA